rnacentral:rRNA from 1 species
GAUGAACGCUAGCUACAGGCUUAACACAUGCAAGUCGCAGGGUAACACGAGGAAAGCUUGCUUUCCUUGAUGACGACUGGCGCACGGGUGAGUAACGCGUAUCCAACCUUCCCAUAACUACGGGAUAACCCGUUGAAAGACGGCCUAAUACCGUAUGAUAUCGUUUGCUGACAUCAAAUAACGAUUAAAGGUUUAGCGGUUAUGGAGGGGGAUGCGUCUGAUUAGCUUGUUGGCGGGGUAACGGCCCACCAAGGCGACGAUCAGUAGGGGUUCUGAGAGGAAGGUCCCCCACAUUGGAACUGAGACACGGUCCAAACUCCUACGGGAGGCAGCAGUGAGGCAUAUUGGUCAAUGGGCGAGAGCCUGAACCAGCCAAGUAGCGUGCAGGAUGACGGCCCUAUGGGUUGUAAACUGCUUUUAUGUGGGGAUAAAGUGCGUGACGUGUCAUGCAUUGCCGGUACCACAUGAAUAAGGACCGGCUAAUUCCGUG